AGAGAGGCUGUGGCUCAAUGGAAGACCCUCUGCUUUGCAUUCAUAAAGUCUCAGGUUCAAUCCCUGGCCUCUCCA
rnacentral:tRNA from 1 species